AUAGUACUACCUUUAUCCGAAAAUACUUGUUUUAGAGAUGAAUGUAUCUAGACUUAUUUUAAUUAUAAAUACAUUCAUUAUAUGUAUUUUUAGGACAAAUAUUUUCGGACGGAGGGAGUACAUC
rfam:Hordeum vulgare subsp. vulgare, WGS project CAJW01000000 data, contig: morex_contig_1591976